rnacentral:rRNA from 1 species
CAAUAGCGUAUAUUUAAGUUGUUGCAGUUAAAAAGCUCGUAGUUGGAUUUCGGAUGGGAUUUGCCGGUCCGUCGUUACGAUGUGCACUGGCCAGUCCUAUCUUGUUGUCGGGGACUAGCUCCUUGGAUUCACUUCCUGGGACUAGGAGCUGACGAGGUUACUUUGAGUAAAUUAGAGUGUUCAAAGCAAGCCUACGCUCUGAAUACAUUAGCAUGGAAUAACACGAUAGGACUCUGGCUUAUCUUGUUGGUCUGUGAGACCAGAGUAAUGAUUAAGAGGGACAGUCGGGGACAUUCGUAUUUCAUUGUCAGAGGUGAAAUUCUUGGAUUUAUGAAAGACGAACUUCUGCGAAAGCAUUUGUCAAGAAUGUUUUCAUUAA